UUACUUCACUUUGGCGAUCGUAAUCUGCUUGAAGUUCACCAGUUUUUGAGCCCAUCGUGUUGAUAUUGUCUGAAUUUGUUAGUGUAGUAAGGCUGUUUUUGAUCAAAGAAAAGUAUUUCUUUGUAUUUGUUACAAAUAGGAUGAAGAGCUGAAGAAGACA